CCCUCCUUUUAAAUCCUCUUCACUCAAAAACCUGUCACCUCUCCCUCUCUCUCUCUCUCGAUCCAAAUGGACGGUUCUACCCCUACAGAAUCCCCUAAUUUUCCUCCUCGCCCCAUUGCAGAAGGCGAACAGGUCUACUUCGUUCCCUACAGAUGGUUGAAGGAGGAAGAUGUGGAGAGAGAGAAAGGGGUUCUCUACACGGCAACAUCUUCUUCAUCGUCUUACGUGGUGGGUCCCAUCAAGAUCAUUAACAACAUCUUCAACUCGGAUCUCGUCUUCAACCUGCGGCGAGAGGGGGAGGAUGCGGAGUGGAUCGAGAAAUCGGAGGAAGGCGUGUCGGGCCGUGACUUCGCGUUGGUUCUCGAGGAGGUGUGGCUGCAGACGCUCAAAUGGCAUAGCAAUUCAAAUGUGGCAACGAGGAAUGGUGGAAGCUCUUCUGUUGCUGAAGAUGGUAUGGCGGAUGUUUAUCCUUUACAAUUACGGCUCUCUGUUAUGCGGGAAGCAAAUCAAUUAUCUCUAAGGAUAAGCAAAAGGGAUAAUGCAGUAGAAUUUUACAAAAGAGCCUGCAAGAUUUUCAGUGCCGAAUCCGAACCGAUACGCAUCUGGGACUUCUCUGGGCAGACAAAUCUGUAUUUCGUAGGUGAGAGAAAUAAUAUCUCGAAGGAUUGUCAACGCCAAUCAGAUCAAGAGAUUCUUUUGGAAUUACAGGUGUAUGGGUUGUCAGAUUCUGUAAAGUGCCGUACCGAAGGAUCUAAGAUGACAAUGUCCUCUUGUAGCGGAUCACAUAUGAACAACGGCAGCACAGGAACUGUUCUUACUAACUGCACUGCUCUGAGUGGAAACUUUGGAAUGGGUUUGAUAGGAUUACAAAAUCUAGGGAAUACUUGUUUCAUGAACAGUGCAAUACAGUGUUUGGUGCAUACAGAUAUGCUUGUUGAAUAUUUCCUUGGAGACUACAGUAGAGAAAUAAAUCAGCAGAAUCCAUUGGGCAUGGGUGGUGAGCUUGCUUUAGCAUUUGGAGAACUAUUAAGGAAGUUAUGGGCUCCUGGAAGGGCUCCAGUUGCACCCCGAUCGUUUAAAACGACACUUGGUUGUUUCGCCCCCCAAUUUAGUGGCUUUAACCAGCACGAUUCACAAGAGCUUCUUGCUUUUUUGUUGGAUGGACUCCAUGAAGAUCUGAAUCGUGUGAAACACAAGCCUUAUUUAGAAGCGAAGGAUGCACAUGGGCGCUCGGAUGAAGAAGUGGCUGACGAGUACUGGGAAAAUCACCUGGCUCGCAAUGACUCUAUCAUAGUUGAUGUAUGCCAAGGACAAUACAGGUCGACGUUAGUAUGUCCUGUCUGCAAUAAGGUCUCAGUUACAUUCGAUCCAUUUAUGUACUUGUCGCUGCCUCUACCUUCAACAACCAUGCGGACAAUGACCGUGACAAUCUUCAACACUGAUGGCAACAUGCUACCAUCUUCAUAUACCAUAACUGUGCCCAAGAACGGGAAGUGCAGGGAUCUGAUUCAGGCCUUAAGCAUUGCCUGUUCGUUAAGAACUGAUGAGAACCUUUUGGUGGCGGAGGUUUACUCUAAUCGCAUAAUUCGUUACCUAGAGGAGCCAUCUGAUUCAAUAUCCCUGAUUAGAGAUGAUGACCGACUUGCAGCAUAUCGGCUGUCAAAUAAUCUUGAGAAGCUCCCAUUGGUGGUUUUCAUGCAUCAGCGCAUGGAGGAGCAUUACAUCAGUGGUAAAAUGACAUCAUCCUGGAAGGCAUUUGGAAUUCCUCUCGUAACAAGGCUGGGUAAUAUCACUAACGGAUCUGAUAUCCACAAACUGUUUCUAAACUUAUUGAAUCCAUUUCAAAGACCCGGAGAAGCUUCCUUAGAUGACCAAGACAAUAGCAUGAACAGUGCUGCUGUUGAAGGUAUUGUGAUGGAUGAUGCCACAAGCCCUCAUAUUUCAGGUGGUGAAAAUUCAACUGAGGAACCAAUGGACAAGUCACAUUUUGAGAACAAAGUAGAGUUUUUCUUAACAGAUGAGAAAGGUAUAACAAAGGACUACAAGGUAGAAAUGAAUGAGCCAUUUACAAUAAAGGGGUCUUGUAGACGGCUGCAUGUGCUUGUGUGCUGGCAGGAUAAGACAAUCAAACAGUAUGAUAUACCGCCUCUCAUUUCAUUACCUGAGAUUUUCAAGUCUGGAUACCCAAAGAAGCCUCAGGAGUUAAUUUCUCUAUAUGCUUGCCUUGAAGCUUUCCUUAGGGAGGAGCCUCUAGGACCGGAAGACAUGUGGUACUGUCCCUGCUGCAAGAUGCAUCGGCAAGCAAGCAAGAAACUCGAUCUUUGGAGAUUGCCAGAGAUCCUCGUUAUUCAUCUCAAAAGAUUUUCAUAUAGCCGUUUCAUGAAGAACAAGCUGGAGGCAUUUGUAGACUUCCCUAUUCGUGAUCUGGACUUGUCAAAUUAUAUUCCUUGUAAGAACGGGCAAUCAUUGAAUUGUUAUGAGCUUUAUGCACUGAGUAAUCACUAUGGAGGCAUGGGUGGUGGUCAUUAUACAGCGUAUGUCAAUCACAAAAGGGGGAAUCAGUGGCAUGAAUUUGAUGACAGCAACGUCUUUCCUAUUACUGUGGACAAGAUAAAGACAUCGGCUGCAUAUGUUCUCUUCUACAGAAGAGUUGGAGCCAGCGAUCCAAGCACAUAAACAAUACCAGUACACUUAACUUUUACCUUGGGAAAACCAUUGAGCUAAGUGACCGGGUUUUGAGGAGGAGAGAGGAUUUCGGUGUCCGCCGGUAAAGCUUUUCAUAAACCUGAAACUAACAUGUAUCAUGUCAACAGAUAGCAUUCUUUGCUUAUUGGCGACUGACUUAGUUGAAAAAACAUAGCAUUGGAGAAACAACUUAUUCAAGCAUAUGAAGAUGUUGCAAAAGUCACUGUAUCAUAUUACAAUCAAGGGGUGAGAUUCUUACAUCCAGAUGAAAAAACAGACAGUUUGAAGGGUUUGAAUCUUCCAGAAUGGAGAGAUUUGGGAGCAUCCACCAUCCAUUGUUGGUGGCCCUGUCAAAUCAAUGGUCUAGACGAGCGAACCAUGUCCCAACGUAUUGCGAGCCACAUGGAGCUGUAAGCCUACUGUGGUUCCUCUCGCUGAGUAGGAUAAGACUCGGUUCAGAUGGAUGCCUGCAGAACCAUCUCCGGCAUAAAAGGGUUAAUAAUGUAAUGAGUCUGCUGCUUAAUGGCUCCGGCGAAGUUGCUGAUGUGAAAAUUUCAAGUGGAGAUGGCGACCCACAUAUUUCAAGGCUAUACAUGGGUUUCUUUUCUCAAACAUCUCCUUGAUUAGACAAUCUUUGGCAAUUGCAUUUGUGGAAUAGAGAAGAUUUUAAAAGCUCUUGUUCAUGAAUGCCGUAGUUGGCUGCAGAAGGGAAAAUGCUUCUACCUUUCAAAUUCACUCCAAAACUCAACCACCGGUGUGUAAUCGACCUUCAGAUUUUUAUUAGAUAAAAUGUUUUUCUCGACCUUUGGAUUUUUAUUAGAUAAAGGCUUUUCUCGUGAGCACUCCUGAUACUGGGCUACAAAUGUGUGGGCUUGAUAUAAAUAUAACAUAUGAAUUUUAAGUACUGUU